rnacentral:rRNA from 1 species
UACGUAGGGUGCGAGCGUUAAUCGGAAUUACUGGGCGUAAAGCGUGCGCAGGCGGCCCGUUAAGACAGGUGUGAAAUCCCUGGGCUCAACCUAGGAAUUGCGCUUGAGACUGGCGGGCUCGAGUACGGUAGAGGGGGGUGGAAUUCCUGGUGUAGCAGUGAAAUGCGUAGAGAUCAGGAGGAACACCGAUGGCGAAGGCAGCCCCCUGGGCCUGUACUGACGCUCAUGCACGAAAGCGUGGGGAGCAAACAGG